rnacentral:lncRNA from 1 species
CAAAAAGCUUGCAGUCCCAACUUUUUUAUUGUUUUGCAAAUUAUACUCAAUUGUUUUAUAAUCUUUAGAACUUUAUUUUCUUCCCCACUCCCACCCUAUGCUAUCCCAUCCCUCUUGAUCUUCUUCCCUAACCCUACCUAAAAGUACGCCCGAUUGCAAAGAAUUCAAUUACAGCUCCAAUGGUGGCACUCUCUCACGCACUUACAGUUGGAUUUUUCCAUUGCAAAGAAUUCAGCUCCAAUUUUAUACAACUAUAGGAAAACACCAGAAUCCACCCCAGCUUACAAAACUGAUGAUUUAUGAAUGUAUUCAAUUAAAUCCAGGAAUCCAAUUAAAUGCAAUUAAACAAAAAAUUGAAUCCGAGAAUUCUGGAUCUGCAACGGUCAAGCUCUUCGGUAAUUUCUCAUCCAAAUCUUCAAGUACUGAAAAUAGUGAACAAGUAAUUGACUCAGUGUCGCCGCCUAAUACUUGUCUUGCAGCGUCUUGGGUGGAAGCGACAGUCGAGAGAAAAAUACGAAGCCUGCAGAAGGGGAUUACUUUAUUACAAGGCCAAAGAAAUUGAAGUUCACCGAGCAAGAUAAGUUGUUGAAAAAGUUUAGGCAUACGAAGGUGUUGGCGGCUGCUUUGAAUGAGAAGAAUCCAGAGAUUGUAAUGGCUAUUAUGGAGGAGUUAGUGGCCACGAAGAAGUUGCUGAAAUUUGUAUCUAAUUUGGAUUAGUGGCCGCUAAGUGAGAUUGGAUGAAGAAAAAAGUUAGUGGGG